GACUUGCUCGCGGUAGCUCUUUUCGUUGAGGCAAACCCCGCGGCCGUGCAGCAGGGCGUGCAGCGGCUUCUCCUCGUCCUGCCGGGGGAGGCAGCGCAGCCCCUGGGCGCAGCGCUCGGUGUAGACGCCGCACGACUGCCCCUCGGCCAGGGCGCAGGUCAUGCAGCAGCCGCAGCCCGGCUCCUUGACCAGCUCGCAGCCCAGGGGGCUGGGGGGGCACAUGGAGAGGGCUUUCUCGUCGCAGGGCUCGCAGUGCACGAAGGAGCCCAGGCUCUGGGCCGGCCCCGCAUAGGCGGCCAGCAGCAGGAGGACCGCGGGAGCGAGCCUCAGUGCUUUGAACGCCUCCUGCUCCAUCACAGUGACUGCUCAAGGCAGGACACCUGAUCCUAUCGGAAUCCACCCACGGGAACCAGCAAGUGAUUCUUGAACAUUUAUGCCAGAGAAAUGAAGACUUAUCUUGACAUGAAAAUGAAUGGACGUUUAUUUGUAAUAGCCAAACCUGGAAACAAUCCAAGUGUCCUUCAACAGAUAAUCCAAGACGGAGGAGAAGCAUCUCCAUGGCACCUCACUCUGAUUUGCGAGGAUUUGGCCAGAGAAACUGUUCUCAAGAGUGUGAAUUAGGUGGCAGCUACUAUUUUAUGGUACCUCGCUAUCCACUUUGUAAGAGUCUCCGAGAGCAGAGGGAGCACAUCCCCUGACACCUCGCACAUGACAGUUGCUUCAUCAGUGCUGGUUGUGCUCCUGAGAACUCAGCAUGGAGAGAGGCCUAGUCCCCGCUCCCCUGCUCCCAAUUGCUCUGUGACUCAUUCUCACGGCUCGCCCUUCAGGUUCUCGUUCUUGAAUUUCUCCUGCUCCCUCCCACUCCCAGUCCUUUGCCAUGUCUCCCCUGUGCCUGGAACACUUUUUGAUGCAGGUCACCUCCAGGACUCUGCCACUUUCAAGUUGAGUGUUCCAGGUAGGUCACUGAACCCCUCUGAGUUUCAGUGUCUUUAUCUGUAAAGAUAAAAACUAGACAUAACCUUUGGCUGACUGGGAGAGUUGGGAUUGGAUAAGGCAAGUACUGAGUCCAAGGCCUGGCUCUGAGUCCCUGCCCCAGGGACAGCAGCUCCUGUGAUUUUGGUUCAUCAUGGUAGGUCCCUCCUUCUCUCUCUCUUCUUGGGAACUGCCACCAUCCUUUCUGUUCUUUAACCUGCUUCUCCGCCAAUAAAGGCAGAGUGGAACACUCUC
rnacentral:lncRNA from 1 species